rnacentral:rRNA from 1 species
GACAGAGGAUGCAAGCGUUAUCCGGAAUUAUUGGGCGUAAAGCGUCUGUAGGUGGCUUUUUAAGUCCGCCGUCAAAUCCCAGGGCUCAACCCUGGACAGGCGGUGGAAACUACCAAGCUGGAGUACGGUAGGGGCAGAGGGAAUUUCCGGUGGAGCGGUGAAAUGCGUAGAGAUCCGGAAGAACACCGGUGGCGAAGGCGGGUCUCUGGGCCGUUACUGACGCUGAGGAGCGAAAGCGUGGGGAGCGAACAGG